UACGAAGGGGGCUAGCGUUGUUCGGAAUCACUGGGCGUAAAGGGCGCGUAGGCGGCUUUAUAAGUCGGGGGUGAAAGCCUGUGGCUCAACCACAGAAUUGCCUUCGAUACUGUAGAGCUUGAGACCGGAAGAGGUAAGUGGAACUGCGAGUGUAGAGGUGAAAUUCGUAGAUAUCAAGAGGAACACCUGCGGCGAAGGCGGGUUGCUGGGCCGACACUGACGCUGAAGCGCGAAAGCUAGGGGAGCGAACGGG
rnacentral:rRNA from 1 species